rnacentral:rRNA from 1 species
UGCGUAGGUGGUUUCUUAAGUCCGGAGUGAAAAUGCGGGGCUCAACCCCGUAUGGCUCUGGAUACUGGAAGACUUGAGUGCAGGAGAGGAAAGGGGAAUUCCCAGUGUAGCGGUGAAAUGCGUAGAUAUUGGGAGGAACACCAGUGGCGAAGGCGCCUUUCUGGACUGUGUCUGACGCUGAGAUGCGAAAGCCAGGGUAGCGAACG